AGUGAACGCUGGCGGAAUGCUUUACACAUGCAAGUCGAACGGCAGCACGGGAGCAAUCCUGGUGGCGAGUGGCGAACGGGUGAGUAAUAUAUCGGAACGUGCCCAGUUGUGGGGAUAGCCCGGGCGAAAGCCGGAUUAAUACCGCAUACGACCUAAGGGUGAAAGCGGGGGAUCGCAAGACCGUCGCGCAAUUGGAGCGG
rnacentral:rRNA from 1 species